rnacentral:rRNA from 1 species
GACGAACGCUGGCGGCGUGCUUAACACAUGCAAGUCGAACGGAAAGGCCCUGCUUUUGUGGGGUGCUCGAGUGGCGAACGGGUGAGUAACACGUGAGUAACCUGCCCUUGACUUUGGGAUAACUUCAGGAAACUGGGGCUAAUACCGGAUAGGAGCUCCUGCUGCAUGGUGGGGGUUGGAAAGUUUCGGCGGUUGGGGAUGGACUCGCGGCUUAUCAGCUUGUUGGUGGGGUAGUGGCUUACCAAGGCUUUGACGGGUAGCCGGCCUGAGAGGGUGACCGGCCACAUUGGGACUGAGAUACGGCCCAGACUCCUACGGGAGGCAGCAGUGGGGAAUAUUGCACAAUGGGCCGAAGCCUGAGGCAGCAACGCCGCGGUCGGGAUGACGGCCUUCGGGUUGUAAACCGCUUUCGCCUGUGACGAAGCGUGAGUGACGGUAAUGGGUAAAGAAGCACCGGCUAACUACGUG